GAUGAACGCUGGCGGCGUGCCUAAUACAUGCAAGUCGAGCGAACGGACGAGAAGCUUGCUUCUCUGAUGUUAGCGGCGGACGGGUGAGUAACACGUGGAUAACCUACCUAUAAGACUGGGAUAACUUCGGGAAACCGGAGCUAAUACCGGAUAAUAUUUUGAACCGCAUGGUUCAAAAGUGAAAGACGGUCUUGCUGUCACUUAUAGAUGGAUCCGCGCUGCAUUAGCUAGUUGGUAAGGUAACGGCUUACCAAGGCAACGAUGCAUAGCCGACCUGAGAGGGGGGAGCGGCACACGGAGAAUGGGACCGGGCCCAAGCCACCGAGGGGGGGCACAAGUGGGGUAUCUUCCGCAGAGGGGGAAAACGGGAAGGAGAACCGCGGGGGGAGGGAUAAAGGUUUUGGGAUGUAAAAACUGUGUUAUGGGGGAAAAAAAUAUGUGAAAGUAACUGUGCACAUCUGGAGGAUACCAAAUAAGAAGACAAGGGGAACCACGGUG
rnacentral:rRNA from 1 species